AUACGGAGGGUGCAAGCGUUAUUCGGAAUCACUGGGCGUAAAGGACGCGUAGGCGGGUUGGCAAGUCAGAUGUGAAAUCCUACAGCUUAACUGUAGAACUGCAUUUGAAACUGCUAACCUAGAGUAUGGGAGGGGGGGAUGGAAUUAGUGGUGUAGGGGUAAAAUCCGUAGAUAUCACUAGGAAUACCGAAAGCGAAGGCGAUCUCCUGGAACAUAACUGACGCUAAGGCGUGAAAGCGUGGGGAGCAAACAGGAUUAGAUACCAUAGUAGUCC
rnacentral:rRNA from 1 species